rfam:Triticum aestivum genome assembly, contig: Triticum_aestivum_CS42_TGACv1_scaffold_131275_2BL
CUACUACUCCCUCCGUCCCGAAAUUCUUGUCUUGGAUUUAUCUAAAUACCGAUGUAUCUUGUCACAUUUUAAUGUUAGAUACAUCCAUAUCUAGACAAAUCUAAGACAAGAAUUUUAGGAUGGAGGUAAUAUUUA